UUAUCCUGGCGUUUGUUGCUGUUUACUGAUGCAAAUCUCACAACAAAGGCUUCAAAUUUAACCCGCUAUGCAUUUUUUUUCCUCCCUUCAAAGGUAAUUCUGAUUAUACGGUGCAAAACACACUCGUAUCUUCACCUGAAUGCAUUUUGCUUAAGUUGCUUUUGGUGCACAGCAGACCGGACGUCUUUAAUAAGGAGGAAGCAAAACAAAUGCGCUUGGAAAUGGAACCAACAGAAGGACUCCAUGACAUCGGGCCAACUGAUAAAAGCGGACAAGUGAUGAGAUGAAGGACCUCAGAAGGAAAGUAUUUGGGUCGCAGGGGUUGCAGGAGCCUAUCCCAGUUGUCUCUGGGCAG